ACUAUUUUCAGUCGCAGCCUAUGUUGCACGGGGACGGCAUUUUGCUUGCCGUAUCCGUACCGGAAACUUUUCCGGGACGGGGACCAUUUGGGGACGGCAACAAACAUCAAGGGGAAGAGACAGCUGAAAUUAUAUGCGACACAAGCGUCUCGUUUUUUGGUCUCCGGCAAUUUGAAGCAUCUACCGCAACUUCCGAAUUCUGCUAUUCUGGUCUCCGUCGUAGUAUAAUUGUUUGCCGCGGCGGCUAAACUUUGCGUUUAUGAAACGAACAUGAGUAUAGUAAUCAAUCUCGAGCUUCGAGACAUGGGUUUAUCUGGUCGGGUCCCAGAGUCUUUUCAGUACUGUGGUAGCUUACAGAAGCUCGAUCUAUCUAGCAAUCGAUUGUCUGAUAACAUCCCUACAAAGCUAUAUUCUUGGUAACCGUUCUUGAUGUCUCUUGAUCUGUUGAAUAAUGAACUGAACGCUGGUGUGUUUGGUAGUAUUACCAUACGAGAAAGAGUGUUAAAACGAAGGAGUUAGUAGCUUAGCACAUAGACUUAGUAGCCAUAUGCUAGGGCAAGUCUCUUUGUUUCAGAAUCCUUUGAUUAAGGUUAAGCUUGGGGACUUGAUGGCUGCAACUAAUGGUUUCAGCUCUGAGAACAUUAUCGUUACAACUAAAACAGGAACAAUGUAUAAGCCGGUUUUUCCUGAUGGCUCGGCACUUGCGGUGAAGCACUUGAGUGAGUGUAAGCUUGGGGAGAAGGAGUUUUGGUAUGAGAUGAAUCAGUUGUGGGAGCUGCAUCACCUAAGUCAGCACCACUUUUUGGUGUCUGAGUCAUUGAAGAAGAGAAGCUUCUUGUUUAGUAUUUUAAGCUUUUACACGUAAUUAAAAUCUUGUAAUAUAAUUCAUGUAAUAUUUAUGAGUAAUGAGGUUGAUUACAGGAUCUGUGUGAAAAAAAAAUAAAUGCAUUGGUAGAAAGACUCGUAUCAAAUCACCUAAAUAACUCUGAAAUUUUUAAAAAUUAGUUUACCAAAUCA